rnacentral:rRNA from 1 species
UACGGAGGAUGCGAGCGUUAUCCGGAUUUAUUGGGUUUAAAGGGUGCGUAGGCGGGAUGCCAAGUCAGCGGUAAAAAUGCGGUGCUCAACGCCGUCGAGCCGUUGAAACUGGCGUUCUUGAGUGGGCGAGAAGUAUGCGGAAUGCGUGGUGUAGCGGUGAAAUGCAUAGAUAUCACGCAGAACUCCGAUUGCGAAGGCAGCAUACCGGCGCCCUACUGACACUGAGGCACGAAAGCGUGGGGAGCAAACAGG